rnacentral:lncRNA from 10 species
UGAGAAGAGUGUUACAAAGGAAGGGACCACUGCAUAUGACAGUUUUUAACUAGAGAACCUAAACACACUGGAGCACCACAGCAAGCUUUCCUAUGAAAAUGUAUUUGAGCCAGUAUUGAGGGAAUUCAUAAAAAAUAGUCAGCGUGGGAGAGGUUGGUGAGAAUGCACAAGACAAAGUGCAGCAUGUAUAAGCUCCCUGUGGCAGAAGAAAAUGAAAGCAAACCUGAGACACCGAAACAGCAAUAGAAAGUGGCACAAGGAGACUGGGAGCCAGAACAGAGCUGUGCACCUGGAGCCUAGCAAGGAAAAAACAGAAGCUGCAGGAGGCUCAGGGCGAAUGGAACUGGCCAUGCAAAGACUUACAACACUUGGAGAGAUGCCUGGGUUUAAUUCUAUGGUUUUGUUUAGCAAUGCAUACUCUGAUAUUUGCCUAUAGAAGAUCACUGUUACUGCUGUGUAAAGAACGGACCAUAGCCAAUUGAGAAUGGAAACAAGAAACCCAGGGAGGAGGAUGUUACAGUGGCCUAGGCAAAACAUGCAGUGGCUAGAACUGAGAAGUUAUAGCUGAGAAGUGGUCCUAGAGGUGGCAAGUUCAGUGUUGAAGAUAGGGCUAACAGCCUGGCUGAUGGGUUGGGAGGAAUUAAGGAUGCUUUCAGGGGUCUGGGCUAGAGCAAGUGUAUGUGUCCCUCUGUGGGCAACAUUGUCAUCUAGGGUUUACAUGAUCAUGGGAAAUGCUGUAAAAGAUAAAAGCUACAAUCUUCAAAUAAAUGCUAUAUUUCUACUCUAUAUACAUUAG